rnacentral:rRNA from 1 species
UACAGAGGUCUCAAGCGUUGUUCGGAUUCAUUGGGCGUAAAGGGUGCGUAGGCGGCGCGGUAAGUCGGUUGUGAAAUCUCGGAGCUUAACUCCGAAACUGCAUUCGAUACUGCCGUGCUUGAGGACUGGAGAGGAGACUGGAAUUUACGGUGUAGCGGUGAAAUGCGUAGAUAUCUGGAGGAACACCGGUGGCGAAGGCGGCAUCCUGGACCAACACUGACACUGAGGAGCGAAAGCCAGGGGAGCAAACGGG